GACGGAGGGUGCAAGCGUUGCUCGGAUUUACUGGGCGUAAAGAGCACGUAGGCGGCUCGGUAAGUCUGAUGUGAAAGCCCACGACUCAAUCGUGGAAGUGCAUUGGAUACUGCUGGGCUAGAAUGCAGGAGGGGUGAGCGGAAUUCCAGGUGUAGAGGUGAAAUUCGUAGAUAUCUGGAGGAACAACGGCGGCGAAGGCGGCUCACUGGACUGAUAUUGACGCUGAGGUGCGAAAGUGUGGGGAGCAAACGGG
rnacentral:misc_RNA from 1 species